CCACCGCUCUCGCCGGAAGUGCCUCCUCCUCUUAUGCCACCGCACUCGCACUGCAUACUCGCUUCCACGCGUGCCCCCUUUCACUUGCAUGCCUCCGGGAUCUACCCAGACCGUAUCGGCAGCGACGCACUGACGCAUCCAGGCCAUUCGACGAAAUGCCGACCCGGAUGUCGAUUCUUGAACCGCGGACGUGGCCGUCGAGAAGCUGGAUCUGGCUCGUAUACCAGGCAUUGAACGCGUUUUAACGGAGGGGCGAGCUGCAGUGCAAGCCCCGUGGUUUCUUGGUCGGGUGAAUCAUCCUACAUGCUGCGGGUCAGCAUCUAUGCUGGCCAGACAUGAGACUACUUCCAUGAUAGUUGGCCUCAUGAACUGAUUGUGGUUCACACAUCUGCAAGCAGCUUCAAGAACCUUCAGCAUUUGCUCUUCGCAUCCUAUACCUCGAAGUGCUGGAUCAAGGACCUCAACUUGCUUUCCCUCAGACUUCAUCUCCAGCGCCCAUGGGACUAGUUCUUUUGAUGUAGAUAGGACUGGAACAGGUCGCAUUCCAGUGAGCAGCUCAAGCAGGACUACUCGCCUUUUGCUUUUCCCACUAUCGCCAUCGCUCCUCGCUGCCGGCGAGUGGCAACUCCACCGCUCUCGCCGGAAGUGCCUCCUCCUCUUACGCCACCGCACGCGCACCGCAUACUCGCUUCCACGCGUGCCCCAUUUCACUUGCAUGCCUCCGGAAUCUACCCAGACCAUAUCGGCAGCGAUGCACCCAGGCCGUUCGACGAAAUGCCGACCCGGAUGUCGAUUCUUGAACCGCGGACGUGGCCGUCGAGAAGCUGGAUCUGGCUCGUAUACCAGGCAUUGAGCGCGUUUUGACGGAGGGGCGAGCUGCAGUGCAAGCCCCGUGGUUUCUUGGUCGGGUGAAUUAUCCUACAUGCGGGUCAGCGUCUAUGCUGGCCAGACAGGAGACUACUUCCAUGAUAGUUGGCCUCAUGAACUGAUUGUGGUUCACACAUCUGCAAGCAGCUUCAAGAACCUUCAGCAUUUGCUCUUCGCAUCCUAUAC